rnacentral:rRNA from 1 species
GACGAACGCUGGCGGCGUGCUUAACACAUGCUAGUCGAACGAUGAACUUGGAGCUUGCUCUGGGGGAUUAGUGGCGAACGGGUGAGUAACACGUGAGUAACCUGCCCUGGACUCUGGGAUAACUUCGAGAAAUCGGAGCUAAUACCGGAUAGGACCUUGCACCGCAUGGUGUGGGGUGGCAAGUUUUUCGGUUUGGGAUGGACUCGCGGCCUAUCAGCUUGUUGGUGAGGUAAUGGCUCACCAAGGCGGCGACGGGUAGCCGGCCUGAGAGAGUGACCGGCGAGCAGGGUACGUAGACACUGCCGAGACUCCUACGGGAGGCAGCAGUGGGGAAUAUUGCACAAUGGGCGCAAGCCGUAUGCAGCAACGCCGCGUGCGGGAUGACGGCCUGCGGGUUGUAAGCCGCUUUUAGUAGGGAAGAAGCCUUCGGGUGACGGUACCUGCAGAAAAAGGACCGGCUAACUACGUGCCAGCAGCCGCCGCCGUAA